CACACAACCGCAGUUACAGCACAAGGCAAGCCCACCAUCCCCUCUCCGGCUCCUAAUUCCCCCACCCCUCCUUGGUCCGCUUUGGUACCGUCGCCUCCCUGGUACCCCGAACACACUCUAAUCGCAAGUACUCAGAACCGUCUUGUGUAAAGAUGCUGUAGAGCCUGGAAUCCGUGCGCCAGCUGGUUCAACUAUAAAAAGGGCUGCUCGGCGUUUUCCUGUUACAAUGAUCGCAGGUUAAAAAUAGAAACGGAUUUUUUUUCUGGUUCUCGAUCAGACGCGUUGAUUUCAUCUCUGGCUGGCGAAGGAACCUGCGAUGACAGAGGUGGAGCCAGUAUUGGACUUUGCUUCCUCGGGCCGUUCGGGCCGCAGAAACGCCCUGCCAGACAUCCUGGGCUCUCCCGCUGGGGUCAGCCCCUCUGACCUGCCCCUCAAACUGGCUGAGCUCUCCCUUACAGAUGGGUCAGAAGGUGCGCAGUCCCCCACCUCGGAGGAGGCCCCUCCACCGUCGGAGAGUUCCGAGGUGAAGGAUGGAUCUUAAGAGACACGGGGGCACACUGGAAUAUGCCUGGAGCGGGGUGUCAGUACGGAGGGGAUAGAGAGAGAUGGACUGUCGGGAGCCAAUCCGUUUAGUCACUCGUCACGUUGCCGUGACCGACAGCCACUUCUGGGGGGACUGUUUGGCUGCAGCGUGGGGCCUGGGAGCCCUACCUUAACCAGAUGAGGGACAGAGAGGGAGAGAGAGGGGGAGAGAGGGUGUCAGUUUCCCUACGCUUUGAACACAGAAAUUAAACAAUUAUUUUGAACUCAAACAGGGGACAAAACCUUCCUUUUUAAAAUCAAUCUGAGCUCAGCAGGAAGGUGAGAGGAAGGAAAAAACUCAUUUUCCGUGCUUUGCUGGACUAUCCAAUGAACACUCCUGAGGAAGUUUUUGUAUUGUCGUUUUUUUAAGAAGGAAUGAGUAUCACCUGUGGAUUUGACAUUUUUCUUCUGCAUAAGCAAAACAGUUUCAUCUCUGGCCUAGGCUAGCACCACCCAGAAGAUGUCCAAAUGGGGAAAGAUAACAUGAGAUCUUUAACUCCCAGAAAGCUGACAAGGUCAUGCACAAGGAAGGCUCAGAAUUUGAACGAGUUUCCAGACUUGUUCUCAAUUUCUUCGAAUCCGUGUUUCUCCUAGGAAUAUGGUUUGGGGAAAAUCUUAUAUUUAAUCUAUCCUGCCCACAUCUGCAUUCCCAAUAAGAUUUCCACAGUGAUACAGUAGCUACGAAGGAUAGCUUCUCUCCAUGGCAACAAUCCAAUAACUGGAGCAUGACCAUUGCCCAAAAGUAGAAAAUCACUGACAGUCCUUUUGAAUUAUAGGAAAUAAUAAGAAUCCAAUGUUGUCUCUCUCACCAUAAUGAAUGGAAAGAAGUGUCUGGCUUUUUAGUGUAAAAAACAAGACUUUCUCUGAGACAAUUUUGAUGUUUAGACAAAGAAGUGGCUACACAAUCUUGUAAUGGCAUUCCACAGAGGCGGUGAGGAAUCUUCAAGAUGUCCAGAUUUUGUGAACAAUCUUCAAAUCACAGACGCACUAAGAGGGACAAGUGUUUUUUGCUAGUGAACGAUGAACUGAAACCCCUGGUGAGAAACAACAAAUACUGACAGUUCACCUGCUUGAGUUGUACAUACUGUUGUAUGUGUCUGAUAUUAGAUUGAAUUUACCCACUUGAACAAGUAUAAGCGUAUACAUGUUUUAUAUAUAAGAUACAGUAUAUAGAUUGUUUAUGUAAAGUACAAUACAUGGAAGGGAGGAAUACAACUUGAAAUAGUUUUGUUCUCUCUCCCCAACACAUUGGGAAAAGCACCUUCAGCACUCAUGGUCUGGCAUUGUAACAUUCAAGUGAACCUUCAUCACAUACAAAUCUAGACAGAACAGUCAGAUUGCCAGAACACUUGUGAAACUAAUAAAUGCCUUUAUUUGUAUUAUU